AUGAGUAGUUUAGGCUAUUUAUAAUUUAGUGGCGAACGGGUGAGUAACACGUAGACAAUCUGACCUAUACUGGGGGAUAGGCCGAUGAAAGUUGGAUUAAUACCGCAUAUGGUCAUGUAAUUGCAUGAUUAUGUAAUGAAAGUGGAGACAUGGUAUAGGAGGAGUCUGCGGCACAUUAGCUAGUAGGUGAGGUAAGGGCUUACCUAGGCGACGAUGUGUAGCCGGUCUGAGAGGAUGAGCGGCCACAAUGGAACUGAGAUACGGUCCAUACUCCUACGGGAGGCAGCAGUGGGGAAUAUUGCACAAUGGGGGGAACCCUGAUGCAGCAACGCCGCGUGAGUGAAGAAGGUUUUCGGAUUGUAAAGCUCUGUUAGCAGGGAAGAGAGAGGACGGUACCUGCAGAGGAAGCCACGGCUAACUACGUGCCAGCAGCCGCGGUAAUACGUAGGUGGCAAGCGUUGUUCGGAAUAACUGGGCGUAAAGGAUGCGUAGGCGGUUAUACAAGUUAUGUGUUAAAUAUAUAGGCUUAACCUGUAGAGGGGCAUAUAAAACUGUAUAACUUGAGUGUAGGAGAGGUAAGUGGAAUUCCUAGUGUAGCGGUGAAAUGCGUAGAGAUUAGGAAGAACACCAGUGGCGAAGGCGACUUACUGGACUAUAACUGACGCUGAGGCAUGAGAGCAUGGGGAGCAAACAGGAUUAGAUACCCUGGCAGUCCAUGCUGUAAACGAUGGGUACUAGGUGUAGGUUGUGAAUAGCAAUCUGUGCCGUCGCA
rnacentral:rRNA from 1 species